CGAGGGGUGCAAGCGUUGCUCGGAAUUAUUGGGCGUAAAGGGAAGGUAGGUGGUCUCAUUUGUCUGGGGUGAAAGCCUUGGGCUUAACUCAAGAAGUGCCCCAGAAACGGUGAGACUGGAGUCCUGGAGAGGGUCGUGGAAUUCCCGGUGUAGCGGUGAAAUGCGUAGAGAUCGGGAGGAACACCUGAGGCGAAGGCGGCGACCUGGACAGGUACUGACACUCAACUUCGAAAGCGUGGGGAGCAAACAGGAUUAGAUACCCUGGUAGUCCACGCUGUAAACGAUGGGUACUAGGUUUGGUGGGUCUUGACCCCCGCUGAACCGGCGCUAACGCACUAAGUACCCCGCCUGGGAAGUACGGUCGCAAGACUA
rnacentral:rRNA from 1 species